CCUACGGGAGUCAGCAGUGAGGACUAUUGGUCAAUGGGCGCGAGCCUGAACCAGCCAAGUAGCGUGAAGGAUGACUGCCCUACGGGUUGUAAACUUCUUUUAUAAAGGCAUAAAGUGAGGCACGUGUGCCUUUUUGUAUGUAUUUUCUGAAUAAGGAUCGUCUAACUCCGGUCCAGCAGCCGCGGUAAUACGGAGGAUCCGAGCGUUAUCCGGAUUUAUUGGGUUUAAAGGGAGCGUACAUGGGUUUUUAAGUCAGUUGUGAAAGUUUGCGGCUCAACCGUAAAAUUGCAAUUGAUACUGGCAGCCUUGAGUACAGUUGAGGUAGGCGGAAUUCGUGGUGUAGCGGUGAAAUGCUUAGAUAUCACGAAGAACUCCGAUUGCGAAGGCAGCCUACUAAACUGCCACUGACAUUGAUGCUCGAAAGUGUGGGUAUCAAACAGGAUUAGAUACCCUGGUAGUC
rnacentral:rRNA from 1 species